GGAACUUCCGUUCAAGCAGAGAUUACUGAAAUAAAACCGUUAGAGCUUAAAUUGAAAUUCGGUUCCGGCUUACAUGGGCGGAUACAUAUCACCGAGGCGAGCGAUGGUAAUGUUUCGGAGAACCCGUUUAGUAACUAUAAGAUUGGGCAGGCAACUUACAGCAAAGAUCGUGUCUAAAUCUAAAGCCGAAAAAAGUAGUAAUAUUCGGUUCGAGCUGUCCAUCAAACCAUCUGUGCUUACAGACCAAUCAGUCG